GGCUUGUUGAUUAUAAUUUCAGGUCGUACCUGCCCAAUGAAGGUUUUAAAUGGCCGCAGUAUUUUGACUGUGCAAAGGUAGCAUAAUCAUUAGUUUUUUAAUUGAAAACUGGAAUGAAAGGUUUGAUGAAAAAAUAUCUGUCUCUAGAAAAAUUUAUUAGAAUUUUAUUUUUAAGUAAAAAAGCUUAAAUAUUAAUAGAAGACGAGAAGACCCUAUAGAGUUUUAUAUUUAUAAAUGAGGUUAUUUUUUGGUUAGUAAAGAUUUUAUUUUUUGUAAGUAUUUUGUUGGGGUGAUAGAAAAAUUUGACUAACUUUUUUUAAUAGUAUUACAUUUAUAUUUGAGUAAGUGAUCCUUUAAUUUAGAUUAUAAGAUUAAAUUACCUUAGGGAUAACAGCGUAAUUUUUUUUAGAGUUCUUAUCGGAAAAAAAGAUUGCGACCUCGAUGUUGGAUUAAAAUUAAUUUCUGGUGCAGAAGCUAGGAGGUUAGGUCUGUUCGACCUUUAAAAUUUUACAUGAUCUGAGUUUAAACCGGCGUGAG
rnacentral:rRNA from 1 species